CACCAGGAGCCGCCGCCGCCCGCUGCGCGUGGGGAGAGCGGGGCAGCCAGCCCCAGCCGGCGCCUCGGAAAUAAAGUUUGCAGCCGCUGCAGUGCCGGGCGCGCCCGCCGCAGUGAGAGAAACCCGCGGAGAGCAAACGCCGAACAGGCUACAUGUGCAGGAUGGGGGAGAAAGAGAAUCAAUCUAUGCAGUAAAUUCUACAUUAAUUCCUUUUUACAGCUCAAAUUCUGCAGAGUUGUAAACUGACAUGGGGGCCAGACGAAUACAUCAAGCAAGCUGCCUUCAGCCCUUGGACCUGCAAUCUGACAUGCAUGCUAUAAAUCAGGGAAGUAACUCGUAUUGAUUUGUAUUAGCACUGCUGACAUUUCUCUCAGCAAGUUUCAGGUGACAUUUCCCCUCCUUUGACAAAUUACAAAUUCAUGUGUUUUGUAAGGACAAACUGAAAGAUCUUUUACUUUCAAAUGAAUAAUUUCAUAAUAAAAAAAGAUCUGUUUAUGCUUUCUGGGGCUUUGGAUAUUUUAAUCUCAUAUUACAAGAGAUACUAGAUUGACUGGCCUGAAGCCACUCAGUUCAGGCAGUGCGGGUUUCCUCCUUGUCCAGUCAAAAUGCCUCAACCCUGACCAGCAAGCACCACAUCUAAAAUGAGAGGGCACAACAAUCUCCAUGCCUUGCUAGUCCUUGGCCUCUGCUGAGACUGCCAAACAAGUCGUUUCAUGCCAAUUGUGGGGAUUUGUACUGUCUGCCAGAUACUGGAUCAAGUCAACACAUUUCACAGAGGCUAUAAAACAUCCAUCAAAUGGAGAGAACCUUCAAUCUGCCAACCAGAGCUGGGUACAGACAGAUCUCAGAGGAUAAUGGCUCCACGUAUCUUACAAUUCCCCAGUACAGUUAACCUAUAAACCUAGGAAUGGGCUAUUUUUUUUUUUCAUUUUGUUUCUGUCCCUGUUGUUAUGCUGUAUUCAUUACUGGGGUAUCUAAGCACCUUACAAAACUGUGUGAGUGGUGUACACAGAGACCUGAUUUUCUGCUUCUAACCCUCUGUCCAGAGACUGGUAGGUUUCAUUAGAACUUAAUUUCUCUCGUCUUAUCCUUCAGUUAAUCUUCCUUGAUCUCUUCCGGACAGGAAAUGUAGUGUUUGGGUUUGGUUUUGUUUUUUAGGGGAAUCAUCAGAUAGGUAUGUGUGUGCCUUAGGGUUACCACCUUUGAAAUGCAAAAAACCCAGCAUCCCCCUGCCCCAAGACAAGCCCUCCGCAAUCACAACAGAAGGCAACUUCGCAACCCACCCCUCCAACAGCCACUUAUAGUAUCUAGAGAUCUAUCACAUAUAGAUAAGAUUGAUAACAUCGCACAUCUCACUCUCACAUGACUCAAACCCCACUCUCACACGCAUGGUGCGUUUGUGUGUUGGUGGGAAGACAACUGCUGUGUUUUCAACACUUUUGAUCUUUUAUCGCUUAAACUGUGGAAGUGGGAACACUGCAGCAUCUUUAACUGGACACAGAAACUUUUAACAUUAGAUUUCACAGUGUAUUGUGAUAAUAAUGCAAAUCUUUAGACCCACAUACAAAACACUGUCAGAUUAAAUUAUUUUUGUGUCAACUGACAAAUCUAUUUAAAAAAACAAAUGACCAGGCUAAUCAAAUACCAGCCUGGGCACAUGGGUGUGUUAUAGGAAGGGUAUGUCUUGCAUUUGUCUUAAAUGUCAGGUUAAUUGUCCUCUGUAGAUCCAUCAGAGAGGGGUCCCACAGUUGCAGCCAUCCAUUGGUCUUGCUCUGUCAGUUGAGAAUUUCAUCUUCCUGGAGGAUAGAGACUGCCUUUGGAGACUGUGGUCACAGAGGAAGAGUCAGUUUUGAGACAGCUCAGUCUCCGCCUACUGAGAUCUUGGAAGGUCUAGAGUAGGACUUUGAAGAUGUUCUAAUAUUUGAUAGACAGCUGAUGUAGUUGUUUGGUGUAAAUAAACUUGAUUUUCCUACUAGCUCAUCUUUUAGUCCUUUACAGUAGUCAAAGAGUCACCAAAAUACAGUGAUCAUCUGGGAAAUUAUAUUGAAGUUUAAAAAAAAAAUACAUCUCUGAUACUAGGAUCCAGGGAUUUAUCAAACCACAGUUGGACCUUCUUUUUCCUGAUCCUGAAAAACAAUCUGACUAGACAAGAUGAGGAGACGGAACCCAACAACAUCACAGUUUCCAUGACUGUAUCCUAAAAUGUUAAUCUAUCUUUUGUUUUCACCUUUUGUGUGCAUUUGUCAUUAGAAGAAACAGAAUUAGAGUUUAACAGAACCUGACCACUCAGAGCUACCACAAAAAACAUUAUCGCACCUCACCAAGGACAUUGGCUCCACCAGAGUUUAUUUAUCCCUCUCAAAAUAUGGCAGAGGAUGAGAACAAAGCCUUUUGUUUAAAAUGUAUGUUAAUAUAUUUUCCCCCUGGGGUAAUACUCUCAAAUCUAGAAUUUGCAUUAAGGCCUCAAUCCUGCCCCCGACUGUUUGCAAGGCCUGAAAGGCUGUGGAACUGAGGCAGUUCUGUUGCACAGUGGGGGAAGGUCUCCCCAGAAGGAUCUAUUACUUCCCUCAUGCUGCAGAGGCUAUAUCCAUGUAAGCCAGUGAUGAGCUGCCAAAAUCUUAACAACCAGUUCCCUCCUCACCCCACAAGGGGGUCGUGGCCCACCCGCGCCCCGCAGAGACUCCUGCCCCAUCCAACACCCCGCAUGCCUUGACAUCCGCCCCCUCCCCCCCCAGACCCGUGCCAAAUCCACCCCUGAAUGCCCCCAGAACUGGGUAGGAGGGUCACAUGGGCCACCGUAGUGGGUGCCCACCCCGCCCCUAAGAGCCAGAGAGACCUGCUGGGGGUGAGGUGGGAAGUCCCGGAGAUGCUUACCUGGGGCAGCUCCCAGGAAGCAU